GGGGGUAUAGCUCAGUGGUAGAGCAAUUGACUGCAGAUCAAAAGGUCCCCAGUUCAAAUCUGGGUGCUCCCU
rnacentral:tRNA from 2 species